UACAGAGGUCUCAAGCGUUGUUCGGAUUCAUUGGGCGUAAAGGGUGCGUAGGCGGCGCGGUAAGUCGGGUGUGAAAUCUCGGAGCUUAACUCCGAAACUGCAUUCGAUACUGCCGUGCUUGAGGACUGGAGAGGAGACUGGAAUUUACGGUGUAGCGGUGAAAUGCGUAGAUAUCGUAAGGAAGACCAGUGGCGAAGGCGGGUCUCUGGACAGUUCCUGACGUGAGGCACGAAGGUCAGGGGGAGCAAACGGG
rnacentral:rRNA from 1 species